CGCCCAAAUCACUGCUAAUUCUGUAUUGAUUGUGUGCCUUAUGUGCCUGCUAUUUCCUGUAGGAGUUGACUCGGGAGCGCCUCCUCCGUUACGGGCCCAAAUGACAUAUAACCUAUGGGAAAGAUUGGCUUCAAUAGCAAAUGUUACCCACUUUUGUUUAUCUGAUUUUGUAGCAGCUGAAGAAUUGUUAGGUAUCGUUUACAAAGACAGAACACAGCU